rnacentral:rRNA from 1 species
AGUGAACGCUGGCGGUAGGCCUAACACAUGCAAGUCGAACGGCAGCACAGUAAGAGCUUGCUCUUACGGGUGGCGAGUGGCGGACGGGUGAGGAAUACAUCGGAAUCUACUUUUUCGUGGGGGAUAACGUAGGGAAACUUACGCUAAUACCGCAUACGACCUACGGGUGAAAGCAGGGGAUCUUCGGACCUUGCGCGAUUGAAUGAGCCGAUGUCGGAUUAGCUAGUUGGCGGGGUAAAGGCCCACCAAGGCGACGAUCCGUAGCUGGUCUGAGAGGAUGAUCGGCCACACUGGAACUGGGACACGGUCCAGACUCCUACGGGAGGCAGCAGUGGGGAAUAUUGGACAAUGGGCGCAAUCCUGAUCCAGCCAUACCGCGUGGGUGAAGAAGGCCUUCGGGUUGUAAAGCCCUUUUGUUGGGAAAGAAAAGCAGCAGGUUAAUACCCCGCUGUUCUGACGGUACCCAAGGAAUAAGCACCGGCUAACUUCGUG